rnacentral:rRNA from 1 species
CCUACGGGAGGCAGCAGUGAGGAAUAUUGGUCAAUGGACGAGAGUCUGAACCAGCCAAGUAGCGUGAAGGAUGACUGCCCUAUGGGUUGUAAACUUCUUUUAUAAAGGAAUAAAACGCGGCACGUGUGCCUUUUUGCAUGUCCUUUAUGAAUAAGGAUCGGCUAACUCCGUGCCAGCAGCCGCGGUAAUACGGAGGAUCCGAGCGUUAUCCGGAUUUAUUGGGUUUAAAGGGAGCGUAGAUGGGUUGUUAAGUCAGUUGUUAAAGUUUGCGGCUCAACCGUAAAAUUGCAAUUGAUACUGGCAGUCUUGAGUACAGUUGAGGUAGGCGGAAUUCGUGGUGUAGCGGUGAAAUGCUUAGAUAUCACGAAGAACCCUGAUUGCGAAGGCAGCUUACUAAAAUGUGACUGACAUUGAUGCUCGAAAGUGUGGGUAUCAAACAGGAUUAGAUACCCUAGUAGUC